GAAGGGAGGGAGGAAGAGAGGGAGGGAAAUCAAGUAAACCUUUCUGUGAUUACUGUCCUCGCCCUAUCUGUGUCUUCUGCUUCUCUUUAAACAAGGUCACCUGCAUGCUGACCUUGACAUGUUCUUCUCUCUUCUCUGACAGUUCUUUGUAUGUUCAAUAAGCACUGGAAGGUGCAGGAUACCGAGUAGGGGUUUCAGGGACCAGGGGGAAAGGGUUAAGUCAUCUGUAACCAGCCAGAGACAGAGGCCACUCAGGUGACCAAGUAAUGGCGAGAAGGAAUCAGGAGACAGGACAGGACCCGCCCCCCCCCCCCCCCCAGCAUGCAUGCACACCUGUGUGCCGAGGAGGGCAGCAGGAUGCUUCUGAUAAGCUUGUCAUCUAAUAAUCAAAUGUCCUUAUACAGGGACAGCUGAUGUUCCAGGAGUGUGCCCCCCUUUUUAUUGGGACUGGUGAAUUUGAAGGGGUCACCGUGUGAGUUGCAUUAGAAGGCCGAGGAGCCAAGCCACGUUGCCUUUUGCCUAAAACAUCUUUCCCUGCAUUUAUUUAAGGGUUAUUGUGUUGUGGGAAUGGUUACCUGCAUCUAAGUACACUGUGCUUCUGCAGAGGGUGCUGGAUCCCUAGAACAUUUGUGAGCCACCCUCUUGGUGCUGGGAUCUGAACCCAGUUCCUCUGUCAGGGCAGAAAGCACUACUGACCCAUCAGGUGACUCUGCCUCUCCCUGUUUGGUGCUUUGAGAUGCUCACCCCAAAACAACAAAAACAAUAACCGAACAAACAAACAAAACCCCAUAAUCUCCUCAGUCCCAACCCUAAUAGCCUGGCCAAUGAGACCAAGGGACAGCGUCUUCAGAGCAAGGGAUUCUGACCCCAUGCACGCUGUUUUAAUCUUUUGUCACACAUGGCCUGGAUCACUUAAGCUUGCUGGCUUCACACGUUUCUGAAUGUUCCGUGCUGCGACUGAGUUCAGAUUGUGACAAGUCGUCAUGUCUGCCCCCAGUGCCCGCAACCCUCCAUUUCUGUAGAACUCAGUUGGUAGACUUCUUGCCUGGGAUACAAAGCCCUAGCUUCUUUAUCCAGCACUGCCUAUGCUGCCUGAGGUAGAGGCAGGAGGAUCAGAAGUUCAAGAUCAUUCUCAGCUACACCGGGAGUUCAAGGCCGGGCUGGAACAGAUAAGACCCUGCCUCGAAAACAAAAGCCAGAAACAGGAGCAAGCCCUGAGCUAUCUGGCAGCUGCGGCCAGGGCCUUCAAAACAGCCCUCAAGGUCAAAGAAGCUUCUGGAAUCAGGGUUCCUCGUCGCCAUUUGAUGGAUGAACAACAGUUACCCAGACAGAUAAGGCUGACUACCUUACAGGACACCUCACACCUCAACCAUGACCCACAUGAGACCCAAACCAGCAGAACUGGAGUCCCCACUGGCUUUGGCUGUCCUGCUACCAGCUCCUGAGGAGGCCAAGCCUCGGCCUCCUUGUCUGUCACUCUUGUCUGAGUCUGGGUUUGUGAAACGCUCACAUCAGGUUCCCAUAAACAACAUGUACCUUUUAUUUUUAGCUAGUCUAGAUCAGCUUCUUUUAAUUUUUUUUUUUUAAAUUUUCUGUUGUUUCUUAGAAAACUAUCUCCAGGACAUAGCAGAAACAGAGAGAAACCCUCCCUCUAACCCCACACACACCCACUCCACUCUCAGACUCUGCUCCUCCGCCUGGUUCCCACACACAUGCCAUUUUCUUACAUAUUUUUGCCUUCACUUUAGAUUCUGUAUCUUGUCCUGCCUUAUUUGCACAUACGCCUCUCUCUCUCUCUCUCUCUCUCUCUCUCUCUCUCUCUUUUUCUCUCUUUCUUUCCUUUCUCCCCCUCUUUCUCUCUCGCUCCCUCUCUUUCCUUUCUCUUUCUUUCCUUUCUCUAUCCCCUUUCUCUCUCUCCCUCUCUUUCUUUCUUUCUUUAUUUCUCUUUCUCUCCCUUUCUGUCUCUGUCUCUCUGUUUCUCUCUCCCUUCCUCUGUCUCUGUCUCUCUGUCUCUGUGUGUGUGUGUGUGUGCGUGCACGCGCGUGUGUGUGGUAUGUGUAUGUCUGUGUGUCUGUUUCUCUCUGUCUGUCUCUGUCUGUCUGUCUCCCCCCCACACCCGGACUCCCUGCUGUCCACCAAUGGAGGCUGUCUAGCCCUGGGAGCAGCUUUCCUUUCCUUGUAGGAAGUACUCCUCCUCCUCCUCAGUUACCUGCCUCUUUCCCCUUCUCCUUCACAUUCCUGCCUCACUGAACUCACUCACACCUGCUGUUUUCCAAGACAGGGCAGCAGGCUUUGUUUAUGUGGGUCUUUUGAGUAAAGCAAUUUCCUUUGACAUGUUUGUCACCGGAUAAGCGACUAUCUGUGACCUGUCCUGAGUCCCCUCCCCUGCCAGGCACUGCAGAGCAAUUUCCUUGGUGUGGUGGCUCUUAAUGUUUACUUUCAUUUCCACAAUUAGCCACGAUUGCUAUUUCUUUUAAAUUUUAAAGUUUCAUAGAAGCUUGCCUGGGACAUACCGGCAGUCCCAGAUACUCUGGAGGCAGAGGCAAGGAUCUUUUGAGUCCACGGUCAGUCCCCUAAGUCUAGUUUGGACACCAGAGUUACUAAUUUUCAACAGUGCCUGGCAUGAAUAUCAUAAGUCCCUGAGCAAUUGUUUGUUUAAAUCAUCAUCACCACCAUCACCAUCCUUUUAGAGAUAGGGUCUCAAGUACCCACACUUGUCUUGAACUCACUGUGUAAUGCAAUGACCUUGAACUCCAGAUCCUCCUGUUUCUACUUCACCAAGUGCUGGGCUUGCAGGCCUCUCUACCAUGCCUGGUUUAUGCAACCCUGGAAUCAAACCCAGGACGUGCUGCUGCUGAGUGCCAGACAAGCACAGGACCAACUAACUGGGCUGUAUCCCAGCUCCUUGUUUUAAUUAGCAUUUGAACUCAGUUUCUAUUCUUUGGACCAGGAAGGAGCUCUCCAGAUCUGCCCUCUGCUCUCCCCAAUUCCUUGUGGACCUCUCCAUCCAGCCUGGUUCCCCACUCCCACCCAACCCCUUUCAUUUCACAAAAGUUUUGAUGUGUCCAGGAACCAACCUGAUACUAUACCUUCCUGUCCUGCCUGCUUAGUGUAUCUCGGGCUGGCAUGAAACUGUGAAAAAUAGUGACAGAUAAGAAACACCUUGUUAGAGGGAAGGUUGUGGGGAAAGUCAGGACUCAGCCUGAGCCUGGAGGGUUGUAACACAAAGCACUGACCCCCGUGACCCUGAAAUGGGUCUUGCUUUUUCGCAGUGCAGCGAAAAACCCCGUGACUAACCGAGCUUGGCACGCCACUUGCUUCUCAGAAUUCUCAAGCAGAAAUUAUCUGAUGACUGGACUGAUGCUGCACACCCGAGUUCCAGCAGAUCCACCCAGGCACUUCCACGAAGAAGUGCUCGGAAGCCAGAGCGAGGUCCCACGCAUCCCCGCUUGUGGCCUGCGGAGCCCCAAUUUCCCAUCACUCCGGGCGCCAGUUUACGAGAACCCUGUGUACAUCUUACCUCAGUUGCAUGGUUAGGAAAAAAAGUAAGCUCAGUGAUGUCUGUCGGGUUUCCAUAGUCAGGGUAGUUACUAGAUGUGCUAAUGCGUAAUAGCUGCUUUGGCAAACCGCACCUCAAAGUCCAUAGCAUCAUCGACUUGCGAACCUUCACAACAACUUAGGCUCGCCCAAUUAAGAUAAAUAAAACCCCGCCCGAUCACCAGCGGGGUUCCCUUAACUAGCUGUGGGUUUCUUUCCUUUUUCUCAAUGAAGUAAAGGGCUCAAGUUUCUAUAUCGGGUAGCAUCUUCCUCGCUUCCUCGCUAAUUCCUGGUAACACCAAAAAGCAACGGUUCACGGGAAAGGAUUGGUGUGUGAGCUUCUCCACAGAGUUUAAACUGUGUCUGCUGUACCUCACGGCGGCGUGACAGGGACCCAGCUCCCAACCAGUACUUAAUGCCGAAUGUGUACAAAGUACAUGCCCAGGUCUGCUCACCUUAAGAAUAGUGUUCCAUUGAAACCCCGGCAAGUUCGAUGGUGCAAAACGCACACAAGAAUUCACUGUUGUUCUGGAUUUGAUUUCUGCUGCUAUUAGACCACCCACGGAUCUUUAAAAUAUACAUUGAUCAACAGAGAAAUACGGAUUUAUGGGGAGGUCUGGUGAAUUCUGAGUGUCUAACAAAAAUAAGAUUUUUUUUUUAAGAACAGGCUGGUUGACUCAUAGAAUCUAACUGUGCGUGAUCCGCAGACACACUCAAAUACAGAUGCAGCAUAGAAGAAGGUCGGUGUUCCCUAGCCCUCUCAGAAAAGAACACUCUCACAAGUUUGGUCCCAGCUAUGGCUUAGCAUCCCAGGUCCAAGACUGCUGGCCCAAAGAAUGUGCUCUAAAUUAGGUUUUCAAAAAUAAUUAAGCAUUUCCAGAAUGCACUUACACUCACUAAAAAGGAAAGUCACCGAACGGUUUCAGCAGUUUUCACACAGCUACUUAGUCAUCUUCAGAAACAGGAGUUUGGAUAAAAGUUUAAAAGUGAUGUUUGUCCUAGAGCCACUCGAUGUUUUACAAAGUUGUCAGAACUGGGCUGAGAGUUUUAAAAAAAAUAAAAUUAAAAAAAAAAGGCAAGCCCAGAGCAUCCCCACCCCACAAAACCAAGGGGCUUCCUGAUGAUUAACUUGCCCAAGGUCACACUGCUAAUGGGAAGAGAAACCAAAAUAGUGACCUUUGACUCCUAAGCCCUACCUCUUCCUCCUGAGCCUGAUGCACUCAGAACAGAAUUGAUAGGCAAUUGCAGAGGCUAGAGGGAGGGCUUGGCAGUUCCGAGCACUGUCUGCUCUCGCAGAGGACCCAGUUCUGGGUUCUGUUUCCAGCACCCACAUGGAGGCUCCCGCCAGUAACUCCAGUUCUAGGGGACCUCACACCCUCUUCUGGUCCCCUCCAACACUUAGACUCACAUGGUGUACAGAAGCUCACACAAACACAUACACACAAAAAUAAAUACUUUGUAAACAUUAUUAAUAAGAAGCUAUUUCUUUUCCUUCUUCCCCCACCCCCUUUAUAGUUUUAUGUUUUUGUCUUUUUCAAGAAAGGGCUUCUCCCUGAAACAGCUCUGGCUGUUCUGAAACUCUCUUUUAAUCUCUUUUAAGGUGCAACUCAGAUCCACCUGCCUCCCCAGUGCUGGGAUUAAAGGUGUGCCAUACCAUAUCCAGCAAAAAAAAACAACUUAAGGUGACACGUAAAGUCACCUUAACGUGAAACUUCCAAGGACCUUUGUGGGUUGGGUUUUACUCUUAACAUGAAAGGUAUCUCUCAUGAUUUUCAAUUUUGUUUCCUUAUGUAAGUCUCUGGGUGUGACCCCAGCAAGGUAUAGAUAGAUAGAUAGAUAGAUAGAUAGAUAGAUAGAUAGAUAGAUAGAUAGAUAUAGAUAGAUAGAUAGAUAGACAAACAGACAGAUAGCAGAUGAUAGAUUAAAACUCAUCAGUGAAUAAACUCGCUUAGAUUGCGUAUGAGUGAGAGGAUAUUUACAUAUGUACACACAUACAUACUCUAUUAAAUAGUGCAACUUACAGGCCAUAGGAUUAACAUUUUGAAAGAUAUGGUUCCCUACUUUUGGACACCUGUGUCCAUACACUUGCGUGGUCACCAGUCUUCCUCAGAGAUACAGCAUUCUUUUUUUUUUUUUUUUUUUUUUUUUGGUUCUUUUUUUUCGGAGCUGGGGACCGAACCCAGGGCCUUGCGCUUCCUAGGUAAGCGUUCUACCACUGAGCUAAAUCCCCAGCCCCACAGCAUUCUUAUCUCCCCUUAAGUGACUAAGUCCCUGCAUCUGUCAUAUCCACAGCAUGGCCUCACUUAAUGAGAACUGUGUCUAGGCUUUUGUGUCUAGAUUUUCUGUCAUUGUCGGGUUGUUUAAUAGCUAACACGUUUCUGAGACUCAUACCCAUUGGUGUAUACAUGCAGACCUCUCUUUUUUCAGUUCAGAAUAUUCCUUCAUUGGAAAACUGGGCUCCAGUUUAACCACUUGUCUAUUUCUGCAAAUUGGGGUAUUUCUGUUUCCGUGAACAAGUCUUCCAAAAACCGGUGACAUUUUUAUUUUUUUAUUUUCACUUUAUUGAUUGAUUGACUGAUGGAUUGAUUGAUUUGUUAACGAUUGGCUUUUCAAGAUGCUGUUUCUCUGUAUAGCAGAGCCCUGGUUGUCUCGGACUCACUUUGUAGACCAGGCUGAUCUUGAACCUCACAAUGGUUUGCCUACCUCUAUUUCCUGAGUGCUGGCAUUAAAGGUGUACACCACCGUAUCUAGCAAUUGGUGGUGAGAUAAUGUGUGAUAUACUCUAAAAUAUUUAUUUUUAUUUAUUUGUUUUUAUGCGUUCUGGGUAUGAUCUGGAGCUGGAGUUACAGGUGGUUAUAACCUUCUCUCUGUGGCUGUUGGGAACUAGACUCAGGUCCUUUGCAAGAGAAACAAGUGCUCUUAACCACCAAGCUACCUCUCCAGGGACACUGUGUGAUAACUGAUCUGUGUGAUUAGUGCAUAAUGAUCAGAUCAGAACCAUUAACAUUCUUGCUCUUUAAAUACUUAUUAUUUCCUCUCUCCUUUCCUCUCUCUCUCUCUCUCUCUCUCUCUCUCUCUCUCUCUCUCUCUCUCUCUUUCUUUCCUUUUUCAGACAUGGUCUCACUGUGCACUCCUAACCUAGAACUGUAAUGGAGACCAGGCCAGCCUUGAAGUCACAGAGAUCCACCUGCCUUUGCCUCCUGAGUGCUGAAAUUAAAGGUGUGAGCAACCAUUUCUGGCUCAAUUAUUAUUUCAAACUCCUGUCUUCUAGUUUCUCAUCAAAUAGAUAAUUAAUAGAUGUGUAGUACAACUCCCCUUCAGCUCUACAUAUGUAUCAGAGUAUAUUUCCCUAUAAAAUACUUUUGUAUUCAUCAUCUCCUACUAAUAACAUUCCCCAUAGACCUAUUUUUCCACCACUAUUCUACUGUUUGCAUCUAUCAACUCUGCGGGUUUUAUUUCCACAUAUGAAGAGGAACAUUUGCCUUUCUGUGUCUGGCUUAUUUCACUUAGCACAAUGCCCUCCUGUCAUGCCCAUUUUGCCACGAAUGACAGACUCCCAUUAUGUUUUAGAGACUCUGAGCCAUCCCUCAGCCUCCCCUCCACCCAUUCUGUCUCAUAGCCGACUGAUAAGCUACUGUGUGUAGCUACCCCAUUUUCUUGACCCACUAUUUACCUGUGGGUACCUCAGCUGGAUUCCAUAUCGAGGCUGCCCGCCAUAGAUGGUAGUGCAGUAAACAAGGGACAUAAAUGUCUCUUUGGCACAGUACAACAUUUCUUUGUGAUUUAUACCUAGGCAGAGGACUGUUGGCUCUUGGGGUAUCCAGUUAAGAUGCCACCGAGUGGUAGUCUAAUGUGGUUGUACCACUUUCACAUCUAGAACUGUGUGAGAGAUCACAUCACUUCAUAUCCUCAUCGAUACUUGGAAAUUUUGGUGUUUUAAUUAUAGCCUUGGCAGUAGGUGUGAGAUGCUUUCUUUCGCUUGUUCUACUUUGCAUUUUCCUGGUGACUAAUGCUUCCCCACAUCACCCCAAUCUCCUCCGCCAUUCCACUCAUAUGGUCUCUCUGUGGAAUACUUAUUUACUGAUUUGAACCUUUUUUCCCCCCAAGUUGGGUUUUCUUUUUAACACUGGACUGUAGAGAUACGACACGCCGGAGAUACAAGCCUCUGUGCAUUCUGUGAACUUUUUCCUUGCCUGCCUUCUGUAUUCAAUUCUGUAUUCUCAGACGUUGUCCUUUAUCUUGAACCUUGAUAACACCAAACUCCUCUUCUGUCUAAUCUUCAUGACUUCAGAGUUAGCCUUUAUUCCAAUUUUUCACCUUAGAUCCCUCUUUGUGUAUGGUAGGAGGUAAGGGUAGAGGUUUAUGUCUCUUCCCAUGUGGAAAGAGUGUCAUUUGUUCAAAGUCUGAUCUUCCUUUUAUUGAAUUUCCUUUGCACCUCUGUCAAACAUCGGUUGGCCAUGUAGGCAUGGGUCUAUCUCAAGCCUCCCCAUUGUACUCCAUCGAUCCAAUUGUUUUUUCUUUUCUCUUCCAAUGCCCGUAACCACUGCACCAGUCACCAUGGCUUUCCAGACACCUUUGAAGCUGGCCAAACAUAGAGACCAGACCCUUCAUUGUAAGGUUGUUGGGACUUUUCUCCAUACUCUGUUUCUUGACAUGAAUUUUAGGAUCAACUUCUCCAUUUAUCUUAAAAAAUAUCUGCUUGGAUCUUACUAGAUAUAGAAUUGAAUCUAUUAAUCAGCUUGAGGAUAAUUGACAACUAGUAAUAUUGAGUGUCUCAGUCCAUCACACACACACACACACACACACACACACAGACACAUACACACACACAUAUACACAAACAUAUAUACACAUAUAUAAACAUACACACACAUUCACACACAUACAUACACACACAUACACAUACACAGAUACAUAUACACACAUACUCAUAUAUACACACACAUACACACACAUAUACACACAUACAUACACAAACACACACAUACACACACAUAUACACACAUACAUACACAAACACACACAUACACACACACACACACACCUUUCCAAACACAUGUGUCUUUUCAUACUUAUUAAUACCUCAAUGAUGUCAUAUAUAUUAAUUAUAUCUAUUGUCAAAUGUUUAUUUUUGGCCUUUAUUGAAAAAAUAUGUGUUUUCAUAUAUUUUUAUGAAACAAAGAUAUCUAUAUGUUUAUGUGGGGUAUUUGCCAAAGAGUACAGUGCCUAUGGGAGACAGAGAAGACAUUGGGUCCUCUGGAGCUAAGAGUUACAAGCAGUUGUGAGUCACCUGAUGUGGGUGUUUGACACUAAACUUGAGUCCUCUGGAAGAGCGAGUGCCCUCAACCCCUGAGCUAGCCAUCUCUCCUGCCCCUAAUUUUAAGUGGUAUUUUUUUCCAGUUAUCUUUGAUUGGUGUACAGGAAUAUAACCAAUUCCAAUAAAUAGCUCUCCUGUCAAUGUAUUAAUUAGUUUCUCAGGGCUACAGAGAAUUUCCACACACCUCUGAAUGUAGUUCUUAUUUCUCUAGCUUCAAUUUCCAUGACUUUUGUUUCCUUUUUAAUCUAUGCUCAGGACAAUGCUGACCACACAUGAGUAUCAAUAUCUUAAUAUGAGUUUCUCCAUUAUCUGUGAGUGAUUCAAAUAAUAGUGGGUUUUUAUAUGUAUUCUUUACCAUGGGAGAUUGUAUUUAGUUUUAAUUUGCUGAGACCUCUGUUUUAAAUAGGUAUUCACAAGUAUUUGAUCAGCACUAUUGUGUGUAUUUGAGGGAGUUGAACUCGUUGAUUGUAAGGUUUGCAACAGAAGUGAUACUCUUUAGACCACCCGGAUGCCUGCCCGGGGGAACAUCCUUCUGUCCUCUCCCUCUUGGAUUCUUGAUCUGUAACCUAGAACGUGUCUACAGGGACCUCAUCCUGUUGGUGGACGUGUGACAAGCUCUCUGUUCAAGCACAAGCUACCAUUUUAAUACUCCAGGGUUCAUGGGAACAAUGUUGUUUAUCUUGGAGACUUCAUGAGAAAACAACAAAAAUCAUCCACCAUUUGGGGCUGGAGAGAUGACUCCUCAGUUAAGAGUGUGUACUGCUCUGGGAGAGACCCUGGACUCAGUUCCCAACACUGAUGUCAGGCAGCUCAGCAAUUGUGCCUCCAGCCUCACAGAACUUGAGGCCCCUUCUGGCCUCUGGGUGACCGUGCACAUGCCUACACAAGCACACAUGCACACACACACACACACAUUUUAAAAAAUAAUAUAUGUGUGUGUGUGUGUGUGUGUGUGUGUGUGUGUGUGUGUGUGUGUGUAAAGCCACUCCAGGAACACUGUCAAUAUUAACCUAAUUCUCCAUUCUCUAUAUUAAAGGCAAGAUGUAACCUCUCAUUUGUGGCUUGAUCUCGUGAGACUUUGACAAAGACCCUGAACAGCUCUCCUUUUCCCGUGUACUACUUCUAAAAGUUUAAGUAGAUCUGCGGGAUCCCCAAAGAAUUACAUGCAGACUACAUUAAGAUGAAAAUCUUUUAUAUUUGUUCUGUAGCUUGGAAAAGCCAGCACACGGUCUGUUUUGUUCCACGGGCUCCUAAGGUUCAGGUAUUAACAUAAAUACAGCCCAUUAACACUUGUUCCUCUCUGUCAGGACAUAAAUUAAGUCUGCAGGUGUUCCACAGAGCUGGACCCUUGGUACUAAUUAAGCCUUGAUAAUUAGGUUUGUUAAAUUCAGGGCUUUAAGCUUAUAUUCCCUCUUUGGGUUGCCAAAAUGGAGCUGCGCAGUAUUCUGCCCCUACCUUCUGGUUUUUUGGGUUUUUUUUUUUCUGUCCACUCCCUCCUUUCCUCCCUCCAUAGCCCUCCCCUUCUGUCCUUCCUUCCAUCAGUUUCUUUCUCUAGUCUUACUUCUCUUUUCUAAAGAGAGUAUUGCUGAUUUCUCUCCAUUCUAGUCUGUUCUUUCUUUCUCUCUCUCUCUCUCUCUUUCUUUCUUUCUUUCUUUCUUUCUUUCUUUCUUUCUUUCUUUUUCUUUCUUUCUUUCUUUCUUUCCUCCCUCCCUCCCUCCCUUCUUCCUCCUCCUCCUCCUCCUCCUCCUUCUUCUUCUCUCUCUCUCUCUCUCUCUCUCUCUCUCUCUCUCUCUCUCUCUCUUUCUCUCUUAAGAAAGUCAGUGUCAAACCCUUUACCAUUUUGCUGACAUAGGGUUUUGAGUCUGAGAAGUGGCUGCCUGGCUUUCUCUGGACACCAAACACAACCAAGGCUGUGUUAUAAACCAAAGAAAUCACCCUUCAGGAGUGAACUUUGACAUUACCUAACUUCAGGCAGGCAAUACACACAAUCGAAGAAAUUUGUGUUUAUGUUUAUUUUCCUUAUAGUGAAAUCAUCUGGGGUAGGGAUAUGGCUCAUGGCUUGGAAGCACGAGGACCUGAGUUUGAUCCCUAGGACUCAUGUUAAAAAAAAAAAAAAGAUAUCGUGUCAACAUGCAUGUAAUCCCAGUACUGGCAAGAUGGAGACAGGUCCAUCUUUGGACCUCACUGGCUGGCUAGCCUGGCCUACAUGGAGAGAUCCAGGACAAUGGGAACUCUGUUUCAAAAGAAGAUGGAGAGCUGUUGUCCAAGAGAUAGCAAUUAGUGUUUUCUAUGGCUGCCCCUACAUUCAAGUACACCAGAACACAUGUGAGCAUGACAGGCAUCUACACUGGCACACACAUGAAUAUCACACACACACAUGGAGAAAAAUACAUGCAUCUAUAUUGGCUCACAUAUAAUCAUGCGCACACAUGCAUCUAUACUAGUACAUACAUGAACAUCACACACACACAGAAACACAUGUGCCUGUAUUGACUCACACACAUUCAUCUAUACUGACACAUACAUGAACAUCACACACACAGAGAGAAACACAUACAUAUACAUUGCCACACAUGUGAACAUGAAUACACACAUACACAUGGAUCUACAUUGGCACACACAAGAAUAUGUAUAUGUGUAAGCAUAUGCACAUGUUUUAGCAAAACAAUAUUUGAAGACCACUCCUAGCUCUCAAAGGAAAAAAAAAAUCAAAAUUCUCUGAUUCUUUUGGUAUUUUCCCAAUAGAAUUUCCCAUCUGAGGGUGGAGGGGAUAGCUUGUGGCCUGCAGGUUGUCUGUGACUAGUCGACACACAGUAGGACCAUGACAUCCAAUAGAUAGUUCUCCUGCCUGUCUCUUCUCUUCAGUGGCUUUGUGGAUUGGUUACUCAAGUGAGAUGGUUGAUGGGUACUGGUCUUCAUUUUGAGGUAAGGGAAUCUAUGAGCAUUUGAUCCCCAAAAUACUUCCUUUACAGCCUCACUAAUUUUUGGGAUUCUAAAAGUUACACUUUUAACCAGAAACAUUUUUUAUUUGUAAAGAACAGCUUUUACCUGGGGUUAGGGGGUGCAAAACUAUGAUACAGCACCACUGUUUCUUUAGCAAGGAGCCCAUUGCUGAUCUUUCUAGGAGGGUACCCCGGUUUCAGUGAGCUCUUUGUGCUGAGGUUCUGAAGAUUGUCUUUUGCAGGGUGGCCUGCUCCUCUAGGUCCUGAGGCAGCCUUUCUUUCUCGGGUGUACUCAUCUCAAAGCUCCUGUGUCUGACACCUUCCUUCUUCAGGCUCUCUCUUCACAGUGCCAUGCCCCAUUCCCCAGACAGGGCAGAAGGAGCCUCAGGAUGAAACAGCUUGGCAAGAAACCAAAAGUUUGUGGGGAGGCAAAAGUCAGGAAGUUUGAAUAUUCAAGUAAUAGUAAGCAACAUCUUAGAGUCAAACAGGCUGAAGUUUAGGGGCGAGUUUUGAUGUGAAUUCUUUCUUUUUCCUCUUUCCCUUUCCCUAUCCUUUUAUUGGUUUCUAUCUCUUCUCCUCUCCAUCCCCCUCUUCUUCCUCCUCCUCUCCUUCUUCCUUACCCGUUUCCUCUUUCUCUCUCUCUCCUUUACCCUCACACUCUGAUCUAUCUGGUAGUCAGCGUUCUUAACAUCCAGGCACAUUAUACUUCCGUUGACAUCUGGUACAGAGAAAGAAAGACAGAUUCUCACAUGUGUGGUCCAUGUAUCUGAGGACACAUCAAGUGAACUGUGGCUACCCCACUUUGGGACUGACAGGCCCUCAACCCUUGGUCAUGAUUCGGGGCUUUCUGUACGGUACCAUCAGCUUUUAGCAAACGGGAACGAAAGAUGUGACAGGAACCAGUGCCAGUCACACGGAGUAUGUAUGAUCAGGCCACCUUCUGCUGUAGGGCUCACUGCGGCAGACUCGGAGCUGGGAGGUGGAACUCUAUUUCAGAAUCUCACUGAAUUUGGAAAGCACCACUUUCCCAGAGAAUUGAGCAGCUUGGCAGUGGACCAGGUUGUGUUUGCAGCGAUCUUGCAUCCUGCAUGCAAUGGUGUCAACAGCCAAGCAUCCUCACUUUGCAACAAAGCCUCCCCACCCCCUCCCAAAUUCCUUCGCAUCUUUUUCAGAGCAGACUUUCUGCUGCAUCGUUGAUGUUACAGGGACAGAAUGUGUUCUGAGUCACAUUAUUCCCCCUGGCAAAGAGUCACCGACGAUUAAUUACCUCAAGGACAGUGCCUGGUGACUUUUUCUCUCCUCACUGUAUUCCUUUGUAUCCCACAGCUCCACGUGGGGCUGGGAAGAUCAGCAAAGCAUGAGAGGUCAAUGGAAAGCCAGGGUGAGCAUUUCAAAAUACCAGACAGCUUGCUAGACCUGCUGUGCUCAGACCUAUAAGUGAUGCAGAGGCCCAGGCCAGAGUUUCUCCAGGAGCAGAAAAAUCUAACACUGCUCUCUCCAGCUACAGCCCACCGGCUGGAGAGAAAGUAUUAAGGUAAGUUCCCUAGCUCCUGCUGGUAAGAAAAGAUAGCUCUUUCCUUAGUGGAGGUCGACCAUCCUCUAGGACAGAACCCAUGUGAAGCACCCUUUUGCUUCCUAGAAUGGUCUCAAUUGAUGUAAUUCUCACCUCUCCCCCCAACCCCCCAAUCUAAUUUUACUUUCCUGUCUGAGGGAAAAUCCAGAAAGGACUGAAUUAUUUCUGCCUGGCUGCAGUACUGAGCAAAGUCACAUGAGAGCCUGCCCAGGGCCAGGAAUUCACAUUCUAAGGUCCGUGUACCUAAGGUACACAUCUAGGUCUAAGGUCGUGCUAGUGGGCACGAGGUUUUUGAGGUUGUUCAUCUGGAUAGAUCACCCAUAACUGUCUGAAAAUGGUCCAAUCACAGUGAGAGUCCAGAAUUUGAUAAAUGUUCAUUGUACGAUCAUACAUUGAGAACCUACUUUGUGCUUGUGUGUGUGUAUGUGUGUGUGUGUGUGUGUGUGUAUGUGUGUGAACAUGUGUGUGCCAGAAGUUAACCUUGAGCCUUGAAUGUCAUCUUUCAACCUGUUUUUUAAGACAGUUUCUCACUGGCCUCUUCCCUAGUAAGAAGGCUGGCUGUCUAGGGAGCCUCAGUGAUACCAUGCCCCCUCCACUCCCAGCACUGAGCUUAUAAAUACCCACAAACCACAACACUCAGUUUUAUUUUUAUUUCUGGGGAUCAAAUCCAGAUCCUCGUGCUUACAAAACUAGUGCUUUGCUACUUGAGGUGUCUUCCUAGCUCCUUGUUAUAAUAAGCAUUUUUGAUAUGGAAGAUUCUUAUGUUUCAGUCUAGAUACUUUUUUUCAAAAGCAGUAGAUUUAUGAAAUGGGCGCAUAGUGGUGAGAGGCACCAGCUCAACGUUAGGCACUCUUUGGGCUCUGUUUUUCCUAAUUUUUUAUUUUUCCUUCUCUGCUUCUCAUCAACCUUGGCAAUAAAAGAUAAUAAUGUCAGUGAUCCUCACAGGGCUGUUUGAAGGUUUAGAUUUCUCACGCCAUCCAGCAGAUAUCGAAUAAUUGCUAUAAAUAAAUAAAUAAAUAAAAUUCCUAUAUUAUUAUCAUUAUUAUUAUUAUUGACAUGAACAACUGUAUUAUUUCUCUUGUUGCUUGAACACUAAGGAGGUAUUGUCCUCUAGGCAGAUCUGUGAAGAAUUCCCUUGAUUAUGUUAAUUGUGGUAGAAAGUCAUGCCACACCCCCACCAUUGUGGGUGGUGCCAUUCCAUGGAUUGAAAUAAAAAGGAGAAAUUGAGUGUUGGUGAGAUGGCUCAGUAGGUAAAGGCACUUGGUGACAAACCUGAAGACAUGAAUUUCAUCCCCAGGACACAUGUGGUAGAAGAAAAAAAAAUCAACUUCCACAAUCUGUCCUCUGAUGUGUUAUAGCAUGUGGUGCAUACCUAGAAACAUACACACCUCACAAUGUACACAAAAGCUUAAUACUUAAAAUGUUAGUGUUUUGGGGGAGGGGGGUAUUGCUCAGCUGAUUCACAAGCCGAAGCUAUGACUUCCCUGCUAUGGUGGACUGUAUCUUCAAACUGUAAUCCAAAAUAAACCUUUCCUACCUUAAGUUGCUUUGUCAGGUAUUCUGGUCAGAGCAAAGAGAAAAGUGACAAACAUAGGAGUUUGCAUUGUGUUGUUUGAGUGCCCAUGUAAUUCUUUAGGUAAACUGGGGCCUUUUAGUUAUAGGCAAAAACAAAACAAAAGAUGAUACAGAGACACAGGAUGUGAAUUGGGAUAUCUGGUCAACCCAGCUCUACUCCAUUAGAUUUAGCUACUCUCUAAAAUUUCAGGAUUUUUGUAUGUUGGAGUUGGUAGGUUUUGUUUAUAUGUUUCUGUUUGGUCACUUUUGGUCUUAUCCACUCAAUCCUAUUCAGAAAAGUAAGGUGUAGGAGCAAUUUUUUUAAAUCUGUCUUUAGAACAGCCUCAUAUUUUCUUCCUUUUUAAACUGAGCACCCCUUUAUAACUUUGUGCUUGUUGUAAUGGUUGAUGCUCACUGUCAACUUGAUGGAAUCUGGAACCACCUGGGAGCCUGGCCUGUGAGGGAUUACCUUGAUUAUGUUAAUUGAAGUGGAAAGAUGAGCCACUGUGGGUGGCACCAUUCCCUGGCUGGGAUCUUGAGUUAUUUAAGUAGAGCAGGGGAGCUGACUAGUAAUAUGCAUUCUCAUCAACCUAAUUGUGAAUUAUAUGUGGCCAGCUGCUUCCAGCUUCUCCUGCCUUCACUUUCCUGUCAUGUAUUGAGGGCCAGAAGAUAUCCUUUCUUUAUUACAUUGUUUUGGUCAGAAGGUAUUGUUACAAGGACAAUAACAAUAACAACAGAGUAACUAAUGCAGUGCUCUUAUUAGUUCUUUGCAAUCUUCCCAGCCUCCAGCAUCUCUCAACUGAGCCCCAUCCUAGAGUUAUUACGACAACAUAAAAUCCACUUUUAUUCUUUCUAGUCCAUACUUCAAAUGGAAGUGUGAGUCUCUGACUUUCUUUCUUUUUUCUUUCUUUCUUUCUUUCCUUCUUUCUUUCUUUCCUUCUUUCUUUACUUCUUUCUUUCUUUCUUUCUUUCUUCCUUUCUUUCCUUUUUGGGGGAGUGUGUUUUAAAAACUGUUGUGCCACCAAGAUCUUCAGUGAUCUUGACUUAGGUCUGAUCUUAUUUGAGGAGGUGUACCAAGCCACUGCUUUGGCCAGAUGCUUUGGAAAAUGCAUCUUCAUUUUAUUUAUGUGUGCCACAUAUAUAUAUAUACUUACCAGCUAGAAGGAAGUCAAAAGAAACCUAAGACAGACUAAGACUGAAGAUGCAUCUCCCCCUUACCCCAAGAGUUCUAAUAACAAGAAUUACAUAGCCGUGAACUCUUUUUUUCCCGUGAGACAGGGUUUCUCUGUGUAACCCUGGCUGUCCUAGAACUCACUCUGUUGACCAGGCUGGCCUCAGACUCAGAGAUCCAUUUGCUUCACCUCCAAAGUACCAGGGAUUAAAGGUGUGGCCCACCAUUGCCCAGCAAGCCAUGGACUUUCAAGAUGUCAGUUGCCUCUGGCUAGAGAGAAGCCUGGGGGGUGGGGGGGAUAAAGGUCCUUAGCUUGAGCCCCAACACAUAUGUGAAAAUACAGACAGGUUUAUGUGGCCCUGGAAUUCUGGUGUUGAGAGGGGUAGAGAUCGGAUCCAUGAGGCUUGUUGGCCAGCUAAUGUAUCUGAAUUAGCAAGUUCCAGGUUCAAUGAACCAUCCAGGUGGGGAUGAGGGUGGUGGUGGUAGGCAGUGAGUCCCAGUUUCUGAGAUCUUACCUUAAAAAAUAAGUUGGUAUCUCAUAAAACAAGACUAUAGAUAAAGAAUACAUUCCAACAACACCCUCCACACCCACACAGAAUGUGAGCUACCAGAAUGCAAGAGCAGAAUCCUAUUCAUGAAGCCCCUUUUACAAAGAACUUCUUAGAAAGCUGGGGCAAAAGGGCUCUGAAUUCCAAACACUGGUUCCAUCAAAUGCAUCUCCCACAUUGUCUAAAUUGGCUCAAGUUAUAACUGUUGGAGAGGCCAGCUAUCCCUGAUGCCCCUCCCACAUGUAAAAGGAUCAAAGCGUCAUUAAGGAGACAGAGCUUUUCCAUAGGUAGCCAUUCAAUCAGUGUUUGUAGGUAGAGUGGGGAAAUGAGAGUCUGAAUGAAUGAAUGAAUGAAUGAAUGAAUGAAAGAAUGAAUGAAUUUCAUUUACUCUCUGGGUAAACACAGCAUUCCUAGGAGAGUCCCAUAGGAGUCCAUAAUCCCAGGAUUUCUAUGAAGAGUUCAGCUACCUUAGGACAGUUGGUUUCCAGGAAGCCCCAAAGAGGCUUGGAGGUGGUUUGUAAUAGAGCUUCUCUAUUACAAGGAGUGAUACCAAGGAGAGAAAGUGGUUCUGAAAUAGGAACUAGGAAAGCCCUAGGCCUUGAAUGGGAAGUCUUUGUUAGGAGCCAAGGCAACCCAGCAGGAAGACCUCUUUGAUAUGUAAAUGAGCCCGAUAGGGAUUUCCUUUCUUUUAGCUGUUUGUAGUGUCCCACAGCACAGCCUCCAAAGUAGCCCUCCCAGAAGCCCCAACUGGAAUUCUCUUGAAGCAUACAAGUUGCUUGGCUCUGCACAGCCCAGAGCAGCUCUAGAAUCCACUCUGAGCUGUCAUUUAUUGUCCUUCCUAUGUGUACCACUAUUAAAGUGCAGAAGACCCUUUAACUCUUUUUAUAAAAUUAAAUUUUUAUUAUUUUUUACUUACUUAUGUUACAUCCCACUCAUUGCCCCUCUCCUGUUCGGUCACCCCUUCCCACAAUCCUUCACCCAUCCCCCAUUCCCUUCAUCUCUUAGUUGGUGGGGAGGUCCCCGGGUAUCCUUCCCACCCUGGCACUUCAAGUCUCUUCAAGGCUAGGCACUUCCUUCCCCACUGAGGCCAGACAAGGCGGUCCAGCUAGUAGAACAUACCCCACCUAUAGGUUUUGGGAUAAUUCUCUUUCCAGUUGUUCGGGAACCACACGAAGGUCAAGCUGCACAGCUGCUACCAAUAGCUAGCCCAACUUGAGACUCAUCCCGUGGGCAAGCAUCAGUCCUUAACACUAUUGAUGAUACUCUGUUAUGCUUGCAGACAGGAGGAUGUUGCUCUCUGAGAGGCUCCACCCAGCAGGUGACUCUGACAGAUGCAGACACCACAGUCAAACAGUGAUGGAGCUUGGGGAGUGUUAGGGAAGAAUAGGAGGAAGGACUGUGGGCCCUGAAGGGGAUAGGAACUCCACAGGAAGACCAACAUGGUCAACUAACCUGGAUCCUUGGGGCUCUCAGAUUUUGGACCACCAACCAAAGAACAUAUGUGGGCUGGACCUAGGCCUCCCUGCACAUAUGUCCCUUUAACUCUCAAUCAUGUGCUGAAUUCUUCUAAUCCUGUGCAUCACCUGAUGAUGUAUGCAGGUUCCUUGACUCUGUGGUACUGUGUGUGUCAGUGUGUGUGUGUGUGUGUGUGUGUGUGUGUGUGUGUGUGUGUGUGUUUAAAUAGGGAACAUGUACACAAAGACAUUGUUCCUGUCAUCAAAGAGUCUAAGGAGGGGUGGGGUGUGACUUCAUCUCGGGCCUAAGAGCUUGAAUGGAUCCUAUUUAAAGAGUAGAAGAUGAAAGAUUUUCCAUUCCAGGGAGACAGAAGAACUCAGAAGAUGAACCAGAGAUACCAAGCCCUAGGCAGGACUAGAGUUGCAACAUUCAUCAACAAGGCACUGGAGGUCCUAGCCUAUAGUAAGGGGAUAGAAGGCCAGGGUGCUGGGAGCUGCUUACAGCUUUAUAAGCCAUAGGAAGGAAUUUGGGGUUUGUUUCUUGUCUAGCUAUUCCCAUCAUCCCCUGGUAUAUCCACCCAUGGGUGUUUAUGGUACCCAAUUUGCAGAGUAACUAAGCUUCAUAACUUCCACUUCUUCAAAGCUUUAAGCCAAGACAAAGGCAACUGUGAGCCGACCCCACUAUUUAAGAGCCAGUAGUAUCUUCCCUUACUCCCUCCUGUCACGUGGCUACUUUAUACGGCCCAUCAUGACAGACAGGCAUUUGUGUAUGAUGAAAUGUCAAGAGAGAAGAAAUAAAGAUCCCAAUCCUCUUCGAAAGAGUAGCCUUCGGGCAUCCUGCAUUAACCGUUCAGCCUUUGAGCCUGUUAUUAAACUUUAUGGACCAUAAGCCCCACAGACCCAAGGAGAGGGAACAGCCAUAUUAUUAUACGAGUGUCACAAUUGGAGCUGGGCCGCCUGCCUUGUCCCUGGUUAUAGCACUCACCCAGCCUCGCCGUUAGCCCCAGGAAGAACUCAGUCGCACAUGAAGGCUCUCUGAGAAAGUCCACUUAAAUGCAAGUUCACCUUCAGAAAUCUGGGCCCAGAGUCAUGCGACAUCUGACUCUGUUUACUCCACUAGGAUGCCUCUUGCCAGGAUCGGACAGCUCAGUUUUCAAACACCUGCCUCUUAUUUUGAGUGAGAAUAAGGUUAUUCUAUGGGUCCAUUUACUCCAGAUAGAGUCAGGCAAAUAGGCAUGGGCCAUGCCGUCCAUGGCAGCCAAGUCAGUGGCUAUUGAGAAGAAAGGCCAAGUGCCACUUGGUAAAAGAUACACUGGAUGGGAAGAGUCAAGCCAUUCAUAUAGUAAAAAAGGUUCUGUGCUUCUUACAAUGAUAUUUCUAACUUUUAUCUUCCAGAAAUACAGUGUCAUUUCAACUUUAUAGUAAUCUCAAAAUUUCCAGAUACAUUUGAUUUAAUGGUCCAAGAAACCCCAUGUCAGGAAUCUACACCAUUUUAUUAUUGUUAUUUAUAAAAGUGGUCACUCUCAGUGUUUCUGCAAAUAUUUCUGCCUUCUGUGUCUGGGGAUAACAAGUCCCUGGCCCUUUGGAGUCAAGCACAGGCACAUCUCCUUGUAGCAAGGUGUGAAUGAAAAUAUUACCUUUCGGAAGAUAUUCACCAUUGUCUGUAAGAAAGACUCACUGUUGUCUGUAGCCGUGUGGUUGUGAACUCACCUGGUGAGAUGCUCCUCCAUUUUCUAGGGUCUCCAGAGUUACAGUGUGACCGACAUUUAAGCUUUUACUGUGUCAAGUCCCUGAAUGAGGUGUGGUGAGUGCAUUAGAUGCUCCUCCCACCUCUACCCUCCCACCACCUACUGCCCACCCCACUGACUAAAGGGAGGGAGGGAGGGAGAGAUGGAGGGAGGGAGGAAUGGAGGGAGGCUUUGCUUUGGCUCACAGGUCAAGAUGGAAAUGUUAUGGUGGCAGGAGCUUGAGCCAGCUUCUCACAGUCCACCACAGUCAGAGAAGUGAAGGAUAGCAGUCCUCAGCUCACCUUUUCCUUUUUAGUCAGUACCACACCCCAAGGAACAGUCCCACCCACCGGAAGUUAAGGCAGGUCUUCCUACCCAUCCUAAUCAAUAUGAAGAGUCACAGGUGUGCCCAGACUCUUGUUUCUUUGGUGAUUCCUAUAGAACUCAUCAAGUAGAUAAUCAACAUUAGCCACCAGAGGGUCUAUUCCUCACUGCAGCAGAAUGUUGCCCAUCCUUCCAAAGAUAGGAUAUGGCAUUCUAUAUCUGGACAUAUAUGGGUCUUUUAUGUUUAGCACAACAUAAGCCUUCUCGAGGUAAAUAUAUUGGGAACAUGUUCUCAUUCCAUUGCAUGGUUCUCCUUUAUAACAAAUCACAGUAUUUAUAAAAUAUAUCCUCAUUUUUUAAAGUAAAAAGAAUAAAUUUUGUCUACAUAUUUGCAGGUAAGUGUAAGUGCCCUAGGAAGCCAGAGGCAUCAGACUCCCAUGGGGCUGGAGUUUUAUAGGCAGUUGUAAGCCACCCGAUGUGAGUGCUGGGGACUGAACUCACAAAGUUCUCUGUUCUUAACCACUGAGAAAUCUUUCAGUCCCUUGUAGCUUCAUGUUAUAUUCGGAAUGGAGAAAUAAUCUUUUUUUUUUCUCUUGCUGGCCAGCUUUAGUCAACCCCUACCUUCUCUAGAGACACAAAGGUGCCAGAAAUCACAACGGUUGAAAGACAGAGAAGUUGGAUGAGAAAUGAGAAAAGGAAGAGGGAAGCUAUAGGUCCACAGAGGCAAUAAGGCUCAGGAGUGUGCUCCCCACUGUGGGGUAGGACAAACUCCAACCUUGGUCAUCCUCUUGCUCAGUGUAUGAGACUCACAGAUGAUGCUGGUUGUGAAAUCAGAUCAUCAGCCCUCACCUCCAGGGGAGUCUGAGGCAAUAAACAGAACCAGGCACCCAAAUGAUGAGAGCUUAUGGCAGACUGGUCAAUACACCAUAUGCUACCUGGCAAUGGUAGUGAGGCCUGCUAGCCUUCUUCGGAGCCUUGACAGUCAGAUUCUGAAUUUGGUGACGGCUGCCAUGCAUUGAAUUACCUGAGAUGAGUUUUCCACUGUCUUUGAACUUCAAUAUCCUCUAACGGAGAUGGUACUUUUUUCCUGAAGCUUUUAAAAAGCAAUUAUCGUGAGCCAUAAUGAUCACACGAACUGCAGUUCCGCUGUAAGCCAGGCACAUGUGAGAGAGCACGUUUGGUGUGUGUAUUUGGCAGGAUUCGAUAGUGGGGCGGGGGGGAGAGAGUUUAUUAUGUUGGCUGACAUCAGACAGUCUAGGUGCUCCAAAAAUAGCGACUCAUACUGGAGAAGUAAGAGUCUGAGAGUUUCUCAAUAUGUGAGGCUGACUAUGUCACCAGUCUCCAUCUGGUACUUGAGUCCCGAAGGUUUCCCGAAGAGUCGCUGGUCUUCACGCUGGAAGAAGUAGGUUCUAAGAUCGGUGAAGGAGUGCAGCAGGAAUAGGUUAGAUGAACUUGCCAGCAAGAUUGAAGGUGUGCACACUAAAAGCAGAGUUUCCUUUCUCACCUCCCUUUUGUCUGGACUGCCUGAGGAAGACAUUGCCCAUUUAGGUGGCCUUCCCCCAAAUAAUCAGACCGAGGAAAUUCCUCUCGGGAAUGCCAGUCCCUUUCAGUUGAUCCUGGAACCAAUCAAAUCGACAACCAAGAUUGACCCUCACCAUUUAUUAUUUAUUUACACCUAUACAGUGACUCUCAGAGAGGUCACUGCCAUGAUCUGUAUGCUGCACGUGGCAAAUCUAAACAUUAGUGAAUUUGCCUAGGGUCACAUGGUCAAGAAGUGACACAUAGAAGACUUUCCUUCUCUGUCUUAUGCUGAACUCCAUAUGAGGAGUCUGUUCACUGUAUUGUCAGAGACCAUGUGAUGUUGGUUCUCUUCUCCCCUCUUCCAUCAAUGUCCUUGGAAGAUAGAAACAGUAAGAUCGUAUCUCAGCACUGUAAUCUAGCAUGACCGUCCCAGGGAAACACCUUGUGGAAUUCUAUUUCUUACCAUUUUAUGUCCCCUGUAAUAUCAUUCAAGUUCUCCUCUGUAAAAGGCAGUCCCUUCAGCUCUCAUAAAACUUUACAGUCUUUCCUUGUGAUUAGGCAAUAGUGAAAUUGGUUCUCUAAAACCAACUUCUAGUCGAGUUAUGUGAUUGGCCAAUAAGAGAGGCCAAGAGAGUAAGAUGUACAAAGUUCUCCCUCAAGAGGUCAGAUGUAUUAUCAUUGGUCAGAUUCUGCAUCUUUAAAACACCAUCAGCUUGGAAAACACUAUCCAUUAGGAAGAGAUCAGAGCAGUGAGAAACCUCAGAAGGUCACGAGGUCCAUUCUGAGGGCUCUGCAAAGAACUCAGCAUCCCAGAAGGACAAUGAGCCUUCCAUCCUGGGGGCUAUCUGAGAGCGCAGCGCACCUGAGGCUUUCCCCUUAGCGAAUUAACCGAUUGGGCUUCAGCCCUAGCUUUUGCUUCCCACAUCCAACAUUCUGCCUCCCCCUGAGCCAAAUAGAGUAGAUCCUGUGGUUUUUGUAGCUGACUCCAUGUAAGGACUGAAACUCUGAACUUGAAGAGAGAGCGCUUCUCACUGCCCUCCUCACAAGUUUGCUUGCUGCCAUUCACAUGGACAGACCUGGAGACACCCCCACCACCACCCCCCAUGCUGUCCCCUACUGUUUUACCUUUCUCGACUUCUUCCCCGGGCAGUAAUUGGCACACGACCAAGUUCGGGUUAAUGGAUUGUUGGGUGGGUAAAACCCACUUACAAACAUCAGCCCUGUACAGCUCUCCUUCCCCUUUUCCUGCAGGCCAAAUGCUUGGAAGCCUAAGGUUAAAGACUACAGAGCUACAAGACAAAAUGAGACAGCCACAGAGCCACUGUGGAGCAAAGCCACUCGUGCAUCAGAUAUACUAGUUCCGGGCCUGAGGAAAUGGCUCGGUUGGUACAUAGAAUGCUUAUUGUAUAAGCAUGAAGGCCUAAGUGUCUUCCCCAGAACUCAGGUUAAUAGAAAAUCUUGAUACAAUGGAGCAGGUGGUAAGUUUCAGAUUGAGCCAGUAAGAUGGGUCAGCAGUAAAAGCUAUUGCUAAACAACUCCAGUAAUAUGAGUUUUAUCUCUAGCAUCUACAUAAAUGUGGAGGAAAAAACAGAUUCCACAGAGCUCUUCCCUGAGCUUUAUUUGCACACAUGGCAGGUACGUGUGCACGUGUGUGCACACACACACACGCACACACACAAAUAUAACAACAGCAACAAUAACAACAAUAAUAAACAAAAAUUUAAAAGUAGGGUAGAAAGCAACUGAGAAAGACAAAAGGCACCUAGGGCUGACCUCUGGCUUCCAUAUGCAUUCACACACAUACACACAUGUACCUGUACACACACACACACACACACACACACACACACACACACAGUAACUGCUGUCACCCCAGCUGAUACCUGUGCUCUUACUGUUAUUUUGGGCAGAUACUUAUAGCAAUACAUUCAACUGCGUUGCUGGUCAGAAUGAAGAUUAAACUCUGCUAAGAGUGAGUGCAGUAUGAUCCCAUUUUUCUACUGUAUGGAUCUUGUCCCUUUGCUGGCAUUCAUCCUAGGCUUUUGUCCAAAGUAGCCACUCGUAUUUUCUCAAUCUAACGGCUGUUUUACUUCUCUGCAGCUAGAAUGGAGUUUCCUAAAUUUAUUGGUUUAUGAGUGAAUGAAUAAAUGAAUGAAUGAAUGGGUGAAUGAAUUUAUGAAUGAGGAGUUUCAGCUCGUACAUUUUACUUUUAUUUUUUUCUCUAAAGGUUUGUUUUUAUUUUACGUGUGUGUAUGAAGAUUUUAAUGUAUGGGUGUAUAUGCACCAUGUGAGUGCAGUGCCCACAGAGGCCAGAAGAGGGCAUCAGACCCUCCUGGAGUUGGUGUUAUAGACUGCCAUGAGCAUCCAUGUAGAUGCUGAGAGCUGGAGCUGGGAUCUCUUGAAGAGCAACAAGUGCUGUUACAUGCUGAGCCAUCGCUCCAGCUCCCACUUUAUUUUUCCAACCGUUCCAGUUUCGUGUAAUUUUGCUUUCUUUUUAGUCAAUGAGAUUUCAUGUAAUUUUGCUUCCUUUUCGGUGAAGGAAACUUCUGAAGCGAGUAACUGAAUUAGAGUCAUCUGUGGUUUAACUGAGAUACACUGAGCACCCAGUGUUCCGGGAGCUGGGCCAGGUACCUAGUAUGAGAGGGACACCAGGUAGAGUCAAGCGAAGGGAUCAGGUGAGAAGAUUGUUGUUGGAUGAUGUCAUACAGGGGAAGGCGGGUACAAGAUAAAAUAAGGCCUUUCAUUGGACGAGAAGGAAGGAUGGGCGGGAGAAAAGUUUUAGAGAGAGGAAGAGACUAGAGCAAGGGGGAGAAGCAGCGGAGAGACCAUGGAGGCGGAUGUUAAGAUUCCUCUCUGCACAUUUACAGAUGGAGGGAUUUCCAGCGCGUCAUCACAGAACUUAUUCAGACGGUGACUAACUGCCCCACUCGAAUCCCAUGACAGCAGAGAAUUGUGUACUAUGUGAGGCUGCGCAGAGGCCAUUCCUCCGUCCGAAGAGGGUAGCAGCACGUGAAAAUGGACGUUCUAUAGCGGUGGCUCUAACAGCUCUCUUCCUCUGAGCAUGCCUACUCUGAACUCUGCAGCUGCUCCACCCUGGAAAUACUGAUCUCCAAUGUUCAAGUGCUAUCAAAGUUCUGAGCAUUUGGGAUUAAAAAAAAAAAAAAGAAAAUCAGAAAAUUGUACUUGAUGCUGAUGGUUCCUGGGGAAAAGAAAAAAUCCAAUGAUGUUAAUUUUUUGACUGAAGAUAAAUUAUGUCACUCACCUUU